GUGAUUUGUUGCAGUAAUCCAAGUCUGCUUUACUUGUACUGCUUACAUCAAGAACUCUUAUCGGUGUUGGAAGGAAAAUCCAUCUGCUUCAGUUCCAAGCUGGGAGAAUGACGCUGGAAACAAUAUGGAUGCUGAUUGGAAAGAAAGUUUAUUGAUGAACAGAACCACACACAAAGACAGCCUGCAGUUCUGGAUCAGCUGAACAAAUGGCUGAAUAGGUAGAACCAUUCAUUGAAGGAGCAGAACCACUGCAUAACAGUACUUCCAAUUCCCAACUACUGAAGUCAGUCAAGAAGUGUACCAAGGUCACUAAUAAUGAAGGCCGCUGAAAGAUCUAAAAGAACUAAGAGAGGCAUAUUAUCCCAUCUAGGUCCCAACAAUUAUAAACUGGA